rnacentral:rRNA from 1 species
AUUGAACGCUGGCGGCAGGCCUAACACAUGCAAGUCGAACGAGUGGCGGACGGGUGAGUAAUGUCUGGGCAACUGCCUGAUGGAGGGGGAUAACUACUGGAAAAGGUAGCUAAUACCGCAUACCAUCAGAUGUGCCCAGCUGGGAUUAGCUAGUUGGGGGGGUAACGGCUCACCAAGGCGACGAGCCCUAGCUGGUCCGAGAGGAUGACCAGCCACACUGGAACUGAGACACGGCCCAGACUCCUACGGGAGGCAGCAGUGGGGAAUAUUGCACAAUGGGCGAAAGCCUGAGGCAGCCAUGCCGCGUGGAUGAAGAAGGCUUUCGGGUUGUAAAGUACGUUCAGCGGGGAGGCGUUACCCGCAGAAGAAGCACCGGCUAACUCCGUGCCAGCAGCCGCGGUAAUAC